UUGGUCUACAAAGUUCUAAAGAAGUCAAGAAAAGUUCCUCAGCCAUCCUAGAAAAAAAGGGCCACACAACGUCGGAAAAAGUGACAAAAACUAGGAGGGCCAAAAUGUAUUGUGAACCAAAAUUUAUAUGUGGGCCAGAUCAUAGUCUGCAAGGGGCCUGGAUUUGGCCCACGGGCCUUGAGUUUGACACAUGUGCACUAGACCAAAGAUUCACAAAGAGUG